rnacentral:rRNA from 1 species
GAUGAACGCUAGCGGGAGGCUUAAUACAUGCAAGUCGAACGGUAAGGUCACUGCUUGCAGUGAUACACGAGUGGCGCACGGGUGAGUAACGCGUACAUAACAUACCUAUCAGAGGGGGAUACGCUUUGGAAACGAAGUAUAAUACCCCAUAGUUUUCACGGAUCGCAUGGUUUGUGGAAUAAAGCUCCGGUGCUGAUAGAUUGGUGUGCGUACUAUUAGGUAGUUGGUGAGGUAGAAGCUCACCAAGCCGACGAUAGUUAGGGGGCGUGAGAGCGUGAACCCCCACACGGGUACUGAGACACGGACCCGACUCCUACGGGAGGCAGCAGUAAGGAAUAUUGGACAAUGGGCGCAAGCCUGAUCCAGCCAUCCCGCGUGCAGGAAGACAGCCCUAUGGGUCGUAAACUGCUUUUAGAUAGGACGAAACGCCUUCAUUUAUGGGGGUCUGACGGUACUAUCAGAAUAAGGACCGGCUAACUCCG